GAACAGUCUUGAUCAAGAGUGUGUGAAGCUUUCUACGAGUUGUAGUUGCCCUUCAUUGAUCAAGCUUUUGUUGGCACCAUAAAUUGGUUUUGCUCCACACUGUCUUAAUCAAGAGUGUAUGAAACUUUUGAGAAUUGUGGUUGCCCUUCAUUGAUGAAGCUCUUGUUGGCACCAUAAAUUGAUUUUGCUUCACACUGUCUUGAUCAAGAGUGUGUGAAGCUUUUGAGAAUUGUGGUUGCCCUCCAUUGAUGAAGCUCUUGUUGGCACCAUAAAUUGAUUUUGCUUCACACUGUCUUGAUCAAGAGUGUGUGAAGCUUUAUACGAGUUGUAAAGUUUGCAUUGUUACAAAAGAGAAAUGUCUGAAGCAAUUGCAAGAGGGCUGAAUAGCUUGAUCUUCGUAUGCCAUGCACUGAAAUUGUUGUUGGCUUGCAAUAAGACUUUGUUGGUGACUAUAACUCUUGUUGGGCAUAAGUGCUCCCCUAGUUGAGUUGUAAAACUUGAGGGUUUUUUAUUAUUUAUGAAUGCUAGGAGUUCACAUGUACAAGUUGUACCACUCGUCUUCUGGUUGGUGGAAUGAAUGGUGAGUUGCUUUCAUCACUUGGUUGGUGGAACGAAGG
rnacentral:lncRNA from 1 species